AAUACAUAAAAAUAUCCAAUUUAAACCUCAAACAUUUAACAUAAAUAAAUACUCCCAAAACCAUGAUUUAGUUAGAAAAUCGUCAUUUCAAUAUGAAAAUGAAUCGCACUGUGGAAAGGAAUUUAAAAACAUAAACAAAGAUCACCUGCCGACCUAAAGAAUCAUGAUUAUUUUCAUUUUAUGGUAUGUAGCCAUUGCAUACAGCUUCUACAGAGGUUGGUUACCAGCUGCACCGGCACCAGAAGGGUCGGGAGCUGCCGCACAAGACAAACCAGGGAGUGACCCACCACCAGCCCCAGCCGCUAACCCAAGUGGCUGAAUCCAGCGAAUCGGCAUUGGAGAAUAGUAGUUAAAGUGGAAUGUCUAAUAGGGCCAUAGUGCUGGAUUCGAAGAUGUCACCCGCAAGCUAAAAUCAGCUAAAACAUUUGUGUAUUUCAAUACUAUAAUAAAGGAUAUCACAAGCAA